AGCGAACGCUGGCGGCAGGCCUAACACAUGCAAGUCGAACGAACCUUUCGGGGUUAGUGGCGGACGGGUGAGUAACACGUGGGAACGUGCCUUUAGGUUCGGAAUAACUCAGGGAAACUUGUGCUAAUACCGAAUGUGCCCUUCGGGGGAAAGAUCUAUCGCCUUUAGAGCGGCCCGCGUCUGAUUAGCUAGUUGGUUGAGGUAAUGGCUCACCAAGGCGACGAUCAGUAGCUGGUCUGAGAGGAUGAUCAGCCACAUUGGGACUGAGACACGGACCAAACUCCUACGGGGGGCAGCAGUAGGGAAUCUUGCGCAAUGAGCGAAAGCCUGACGCAGCCAUGCCGCGUGAAUGAUGAAGGUCUUAGGAUUGUAAAAUUCUUUCACCGGGGACGAUAAUGACGGUACCCGGAGAAGAAGCCCCGGCUAACUUCGUG
rnacentral:rRNA from 1 species